GAUGAACGCUGGCGGCGUGCCUAAUACAUGCAAGUCGAGCGAACAGACGAGGAGCUUGCUCCUCUGACGUUAGCGGCGGACGGGUGAGUAACACGUGGAUAACCUACCUAUAAGACUGGGAUAACUUCGGGAAACCGGAGCUAAUACCGGAUAAUAUAUUGAACCGCAUGGUUCAAUAGUGAAAGACGGUUUUGCUGUCACUUAUAGAUGGAUCCGCGCCGCAUUAGCUAGUUGGUAAGGUAACGGCUUACCAAGGCGACGAUGCGUAGCCGACCUGAGAGGGUGAUCGGCCACACGGGAACUGAGACACGGUCCAGACUCCUAGGGGAGGCAGCAGUAGGGAAUCUUCCGCGAUGGGCGAAAGCCUGACGGAGCAACGCCGCGUGAGUGAUGAAGGUCUUCGGAUCGUAAAACUCUGUUAGUAGGGAAGAACAAAUGUGUAAGUAACUAUGCACGUCUUGACGGUACCUAAUCAGAAAGCCACGGCUAACUACGUG
rnacentral:rRNA from 1 species